UACGGGGGGGGCAAGCGUUGUUCGGAAUUACUGGGCGUAAAGGCUCGUAGGCGGCCAACUAAGUCAGACGUGAAAUCCCUCGGCUUAACCGGGGAACUGCGUCUGAUACUGGAUGGCUUGAGUGUGGGAGAGGAAUGCGGAAUUCCAGGUGUAGCGGUGAAAUGCGUAGAUAUCUGGAGGAACACCGGUGGCGAAGGCGGCAUUCUGGACCAUUACUGACGCUGAGGAGCGAAAGCCAGGGGAGCCAAAGCGGG
rnacentral:rRNA from 1 species